rnacentral:tmRNA from 1 species
GGGGCUGUAACGGUUUCGACGGGCUAGUGGGAACUGACUCGUGAUGCAGGCCGAGAGUGAGUCUCCUCUCGCAAAUCAAAGGCUCAAAAAUCGUACAUGCGAACAACAUCGUACCUUUCGCUCGUCGUCAAGCCACCGUGCUUGCCUAAAAAAAACCUAAUCUAAGGUUCGAGCAUCUGUAACACGACCCCGUUAAAUGUUGCAGAUAACCCUCAACGGGUGCGCUAGCAAACUGCCUCAGGUCAGUGCGUUAGCAAAGACCAAUACCUGAGCAUCCCACCGUCCGGGAUAAGUGACGGUCCCCGCUUCUAGGGUCUGGAAGCUAAGCCUGUGAAUGAUCGGAAGGUUAUGAGCUGGUUCGGACACGGGUUCGACUCCCGUCAGCUCCACCA